CAAAUUGAGUAUGCAGCAGAAGCAAGAAAUAAACUUUCAUUGGGUUAAGCCCCUGAAAUGUUAGGUUUGCUAGUUACACUAUGGUAGGGUAACCCAGCCUUUCCGGAGAGCCAGGAGUGACAGAUGAAGUCUCGAGAGUAGCAGCUAGAUCAGGAAAGGCCCCUUCCAUCCAGCAAAGGAUUUAGAACUCUCUACUGCCCGUAAGAGGAAGCCAGUGAAGGCUUGCAAGCUGGGGCGCUAACACAAACAGAUUUGUUACGUUUUGGAUGAAAUAUGCUAUUUCUCAACCUAAGGACAAAAUCAGCCUACUAAACCACAUAAGGCAAAGAGGAACACACAGAACUCUCAGGCAAAAGAUACAUAUUUAUAACAAAUCCUAAGUCUUUAAGCUUCUAAAUGCAGGAUUUCCCCCAAAAAACAAGUUACAAAGAGGUUCAGGCAAAAACAUUUCUUUUAUGGUUCAGGCACCACCUCUGCAGAUAACUAAUACUUCACAAGGAAGUUGGCCAGAAUAGAGAAAAUACAAGGAAACAUAACAGAGACCUGAGAUUCAAUUUCCAGCUGUCUCUGUUACCAGAGAAAGACACUGAAACUUUCUGGCCCUAUUUCCUCAUAUGUCAAGCCAGGGUAGUAAUAUAAGCCUCUCAAGAUGGUUGUGGGGAGAAAACAGUAUUCAUAAAUUGCUUAGAUGAAUACUUGGCAGAUAGUAGGUGUUUAAUACAUGAAACUCAUUUUUAUUACUGUUAUCAGAAAGCAUUAUUUAGAACACCAGCUCCCUAAUUACAACAGAAAAUGAUUCUGGCAACAGACAGAGGAGAAUGCUGCCUCCUUGGGAGAAGUAACUGAUCUUGUCAUCACUGUGGAGCUUCCCCGCCCCCAGCCCGGUUCAGGGCCUGGCUGGCAGCAGCCAGCUAUCCUCUGCCAUGAGUGAAAGCAGCCAGGUGAGUGCCUGGAGUCAAGAGAAGCUGGCCCAUUUCCCACUGAUACCAGCCGCUGUUGGUUUCUGAACUCUCAAGGCCACAAACACCUUAAAGCCCCCAAGCCAUGAACCCAUGGCCCAAAUCCCAAGUUUAGAGAAGUCUAGAUUAGAACCCAAGGGUUUAAACUGCCCCAGGUCCACCCUCAACCCUAGUCCCCGAUAGAAGGCGUCGGACAGAGCUGACUUCUAACCCGUUGGUUAUUGCCCUAACUCCUCUCCGCUCCUCACUGCAAAGUACACCCACUCCUGCCAAAUCACACUAUCCCGGCCUUCCAUCGAAGGCUCCGGGACAGAGGAAGGGCAGGGCAGGGCAGGGGACUUCUCAGUGACAUCCCUACAUUAACUCCUGGAAGCCCAAGGUAGACGUCACCAGCGCCACUUGCAGACCCAGCACGAGGUUCGGAGAAGGCUCGCGCUCUGCACACUUGACACAUGGCGGCCCAGCCAGGAGAGAGGCACGAUUCCCAGCUUCGGUAUUCUCUCUGCCACACACUUUCGUCCCUAAGGGGUGGGAGGAGGAAUCUCACCGCCGGAGGGAGCGAAACCACUUACAAGAACCAGAUAUCCUGGUGACCUUGGGUUCCUUGCCAGCUAUACAUCCCUACUUCUACAUCUACGGCCCUGAGGAACAGAGUUGGUCAUCAGAAUCAUCUUUGAUAUGCACAGCAUACACUCACUAAACACUGGAGGUGAGAAGCUAUGUACAACAUCAAUACUACUAUCAAAAGCAGGCAGUAUGUGAAAUAUUAAUUGCUGUGACAGAAGCAAGUACUGACCAAUGUACCUUGGGAACAAGUGCCCACCCAAGGCAGUUCAGCAAUCGCUUUACUGAGGAGGCCACAUGGACAGCUAUCCUCCAAGGAGUGAGUAAGAGUGGACAGUGCAUGGGAUGAUAGUGUUCUAGAGACUGGGGACACCAAGGACUACGCUAAGCAGUGUGCCCCAGCCACACCUCAACUAUUCAUGGACAAGUGGAUGGAGUUCCUCCCUAGUUGUUUUCAGAUUUUAAAAAAAUAACUGCAUCAAGCCAUCUGAAUUUAAAACAGACAGGCAGAAACCUGGAAGGAGUCAGGAUUCUCCUUCACAUAUCAAAUACUGCAGCCAGUGCUUGUCUGAGUGUGUUUGCGGCAUUUUGUAAGGAGGACGGGCCGUAUUCUGCAAAUGGGUGAAUAAGGCUCCCUGUUUCAACUCGUCUCAGGUCUGCAGGCCAGGUUAGUUCUGAUCUGGCAGGCUGGCCCUCCAACUGUGGGUUAUUCCCGCUAUCACCGCACCCCUUUGAAGAUUUCUCCUGGGUCUUAAGAGGGAUUUGGUGCCCACUGUGGACUUGGAGUAAUGAGCUCACAACUAAUGUUUCUCAUUACACCAGCAAGUCGUCAACCCUUCUGUUUGCUCAGGUGUGCAGCUGGGUGCUCCGUGCCCUCAUCUGUACAAUAACAAAAUAGAUGUUUUUAGAAGAGAGAAUUGAAGAUGAAGGAACGUCAGAAAUGGUGGAGUGGGAAAAAAAGAGGGCAGAAGACUCUGGUCUCUUUACAGCGAGAUAAAAUAUUUGCUAUAUACUCUCUUUACUACUUGUCACCCUCUAGUUCAAGAAAAAUAAUUUUUUAUCUGCAAAUGAAGCGGCAAGAUUCAUCCAAUGAGUUCGCCCAGUACAGCACACCUCCUGUGCAGGACUCCUGGAACUGGAAGCAGUGCCGGUAGAUGGCGCCCGAGUGCAGACGUGAUGCGCCCUUCUUCUCAAGGGGAAAAGGAUUAGAAAACCCUCAGCCAACAAACUCAACUGGGACCUCAGAAUGGGCGUCGUCCACCUUCAAGGGGGACCGAGUAUAAACACUUUUCUUUUCCUUUUUGCCAGAUGAGGAAGCAUAUGCGCUGGAAAUGGCCUUGCGCUAUCAGCCGGAGGCCGGGAAGUGAGUUCAGACACUGUUUACAAGACAGCUCCUAUUUCAGGCACAAAGAGUAAGACUCAGCAGGUAGGGAGGCUUUGAGAGCUAGAACCGAAUUUCCAAGAAGCUCUGGCUGUGCUGGGUCUGCGGAGGACUUGGCUCGGGAAACUCACUGGAUAAUGAGGCGAGGGAGCCUUACAUUUCUGGAAUAAACCCAUCUACCUUGCCCAGGGUACUGGUUGAGUAUACUGGGAAAUAUACAUAUAUUUGUGAUUCUAGAGUUGGACCCCACGUGUGGCUUUAGGCAAGUCUCUUCCCACUUGUGGAAUAGAUUUCACAGUUGUAAUGGAGGAAAGAGGAGUUGAUGUAUGGAAAAUGCUUAGCCCAACACCAACUAUUCAGCAGCCCUUUCAAUCUUGUCUCUAAAACUCACGCAUUGGGGAUCAGGACCUCUCCAGGUGGGAAAAACGACCUCUAUUUGUGGUUCUGCAUGCUGGCUGAUUCUCUAUGAGCUUAUCACACGAGCUCACAUCGUAUUUACUUACACAGACAUUAGAUUAGGUGCUCAUCUAAAGUAGGUAUAAGCUGUAAAGCUUUCUUUACAUUCCCCACGUCUGUCACUGCCCCUGGAACAUAAUAGUUGCUGUUAAAUCCAUGAAUUUUUCCUCUGAACAAGAUAUUCCAAACUGAAUGAUCAGGUACAGUAUUAUGGCCAAAUCUCACUUUUUUUCUUCACUGUGCUCAAUAAGGAAAAGAGAAAAUAUGAAGUUCCAUCAAAAAAUACAGCGAAUGUUUACAUU